GAGAGGUUAUUUUAUUGUGCCUCGUGUUUGUGUUGUUUAUAUGUCACAUUUAAGGAGAGUCACUCCGAGCUGUGUGUGGAAGCUAAGCUAACUAGCGGAGCAAACUUAGCGCCCUUGGAAGCGGAAGGAGUUUUCACGGUGUCAAAAUUGUGAGGAGAAAAGGAGGAGAGAAUUAAAGUUGCACCAGUCGAAGCUCUCUGCAUCUUGUGUCAUUAAUCCAAGUGGGCCGCUACAGUGAAAACUCCCCGGCUGCAACCAGUGACAACUUCUGGCUGCAACAGACCUGCCAUCCCUGCAGAGAAGCUGACGCCAUCUCAUCCGAGAUCCAGCUACCAACCUGUUACCAGCCAACUGACUCCAUUUGCACCCACAUCCUGCACAGGCAAGAUUAAAAGGACAGCACGCUAAAGGAAUUACCUGAAGUUCCUCUGGUGGACAGGCGGAGAUUUGGAGAAGGAACCACAGGAGUACAGGAUGGCGGUUCAUCUCUUCGGAGCCGCUUCGUCUCCAGGAUGUGCCAAUUUUGGUUUAAAGCAUCUAGCACGACAACACAAGGCUAGCUAUCCCCGAGCAUCAAUAUUUGUGGAGAAA